rnacentral:rRNA from 1 species
GACGAACGCUGGCGGCGUGCUUAACACAUGCAAGUCGAACGGAAAGGCCCUUCGGGGUACUCGAGUGGCGAACGGGUGAGUAACACGUGGGUGAUCUGCCCUGCACUUUGGGAUAAGCCUGGGAAACUGGGUCUAAUACCGAAUAUGAUCAUCGGCUUCAUGGUCGGUGGUGGAAAGCUUUUGCGGUGUGGGAUGGGCCCGCGGCCUAUCAGCUUGUUGGUGGGGUAAUGGCCUACCAAGGCGACGACGGGUAGCCGUCCUGAGAGGGUGACCGGCCACACUGGGACUGAGAUACGGCCCAGACUCCUACGGGAGGCAGCAGUGGGGAAUAUUGCACAAUGGGCGCAAGCCUGAUGCAGCGACGCCGCGUGAGGGAUGACGGCCUUCGGGUUGUAAACCUCUUUCAGCACAGACGAAGCGCAAGUGACGGUAUGUGCAGAAGAAGGACCGGCCAACUACG